CUCAAUGAACAUUAAAUAGCCGCAAGAUUCCUUGUGCUAAGGUAGCAUAAUCAUUUGUCUUAUAAUUAAAGGCUAGAACGAAAGAUUAAAUAUUUCCACUUUUUUCUUUAAUAUUUUAUAUUAAAUUUAUUUUAAAUAUAAAAAAAUAUUUAUCAAUACAAAAGACGACAAGACCCUAUCAAACUUAACUAAAGUUUAACUGGGGCAGUUAAUUAAACAUAAUUUUAAUUUAAAUUUAUAAAAUAACCUAAUACAAUUAAAUAUAAUCAAGUUACUAUAGGGAUAACAGCGUAAUAAUUUUCUUAAGCUCUUAUUUAAAAAAUUGUUUGCGACCUCGAUGUUGAAUUAAUAAUCUAUUAAAUGCAACCAUUAAUAAGAAAGUC
rnacentral:rRNA from 1 species